UAUUCAUAUAACGUACAUUACCGAACAAUAAAUAAAAAUAAAUUAGAAAUUAGUAAACAAGGUUCCAAUACAAUAUGUAUGUACACAUAAUCCAAUGAACACUUAGGUAGUAGUUUCUCUUAUUUCUAUUGGUAAUCUGCACCACCGGCCUUUUUGUAAUUAAUAUUAAUAUGAUUAAUACUAAACUAAGAUUGUUAGUAAUUUACACCUUUACAUUCAUUAAAAUUUAUACAGGUUACAAUUAAAUUAGUUAUCUUACAAAUUCGAAUUUAAACUUAUCUACGAAAAUUGAAGGAAUUUUAUCAAAAGGUAC